rnacentral:lncRNA from 1 species
UUGAUGUUUAGGCAGGCACAGGUGUAUUGGUGGCUGUUUGGGACCUAGUGUUGGAAUUAGAGGGUUUCUGAGUGGAUGACAUGUCUGUAAUCGGUGGCUUAGGUGGAUAUGGAUGUGUUUGGCUAAAUUGAGUGGUUCUGUUGGUGUUUGGGUAGGAGUUUGCAGAAGAAUUUUGUAUUUGGUAAGCAUUUUUGGGAGUGUUUGGAUAAGAAAAGGUCUUGUAAGGAGGUUGAGGCUUUUUACUACUCUUCAGUAGCUGCUCUUGCAAUCUUGCUAUCUUAAAUGCUGGUAUAAAUUGGCAGGUUUAAUCAUCCUCGCCAUAGGUCUUGUAUCAUCCCUUAAUCCACUUAUGAAGGCUAAUUAAAAUAUGCUUCAUCCAAUUCAGGCAUAACUCUCUCCAUUCUCACUCUCAACCCUUCAAACACAUCUUGGUACUCAACUACAAAAUUUUCCUGUUUGAAUUCCUCUACAAUAUCCUCUAUACCCUGCUCCCCAAAUCUAUUGCAAAUACUCAUCAUAAAUUCUUCCCAUGAAUUGGAUCCAUUCUUAAUCCAAUUUUGAGACCAUGCAUCAGCCCUUUCAAUUAAAAACAACCUAGCAAUAUUAACCCUCUAUUCUCUCGAUACAUUAUACGUCUUAAAAUACUUCUCACACUUCCUAAUCCAACACCUUGGAUUCACCCCUUCAAAUGCAAUUAAUUUAAUUUUAGGCAAUAAUUUAGACAUGCCUUCAAAAUCAAUUCUAGAUUCGAGAUUCUCCUUGUCUCGGUUGGGUAGAAUUCCUCGGCUCUCUCCUCUUUUACCACUUCUAGACGAUGUCUUCCCUUCCACAUGGGUUUCUUUUCCUUCAUCUCCUACCAGAUGCACUAACAGGGAUCGUAACUCANNNNNNNNNNNNNNNNNNNNNNNNNNNNNNNNNNNNNNNNNNNNAUGUCAGGAGGGUCCAUCCUAAUUUGGUGAUAUCCAACCUUAAGAUCAAUCUUAGAAAACACAACUGCCUCAUGUAACUCAUCCAAUAAGUCAUCAAUCAUAGGUAUGGAAAUUUUGUCCUUGAUAGUCAUAUCAUUGAGCUUUCUAUAAUCCACACAAAAUCACCAUGUUCCAUCCUUUUUCUUGACUAACAAGACAGGGGAAGUAUAGGGACUUUUACUGGGUUGGAUAAUAGAAGAAGCUAGCAUUUCAUAAACCAGUUUCUCAAUCUCAACUUUGUGAUAGUGGGGAUAUUUGUAGGGUGUGAUGUUAACAGGAGAAGCUUUAGGUUUGAGAGGGAUGAUAUAAUUAUGGCCUCGAAAAGCUGGUAGUGUGGGGACUCUUGAAAGAUAGUAUCAUAUUUCUAGAGCAACACUUUUAGUGCAGGGUGUUUUGGGGCAGUUUCAGUGAUGGGAUGCUGAUCAAAACUGGGCAAAUUAGGGACUGAGAUUAGAAAUAGGGGAGAGUGAAAAUUCUUCCCUUGUUUAUGCAUUAAUUCCUGGAAUUCUUCAUAAUGGACCAUCAUAGCAGUGUUCACAACAUUUGUUAUCCCUUGCAGAGUUACCACUUUUCCACUUCUCUUAAAUGUGGUUAAAUGUGAGUUACCACUUUUUCACUUCUCUUAAAUGUGGUUAAAUGUGGUUUUGGAGAAUUCAAAAAUUAUAUCAAAUCCUCCUAUAUCAAAUAGAAGGGGAUUGACGCUCCUCAUCCAGCCCACUCCUAAAAUUAUAUCAAAUUCUCUUAUAUCUAGCACCCUGAAGUAAAACGAAAUUGUUGGCUUUGAAUCUUCUAACUAAAAGACUCCUACAAAUGUCUGCAAGUUAUUUUUCUUCCAUCUACUACAGUGAUAGCAUUGGAAGAAAUUUGAAUGAGAGGCAGCCCCAAAUCAUCUAUCACUUUCAUAUCUAUGAAACUAUUUGUACUUCCAUUAUCCACCAGAAUAACUAAUUGUAUGUUCUUAUAACCCCUAACAUCUUAAUUUUUUUCAUUCCCUGACUUCCUUUCACUGCAUGAAUAAAAAAGGUUGCCUCCUUAGGUUGUUCUUAUUAUUCCAUAACUUUUGGAGUCUCGUGUCUUACUUCCUCUCCAUUAUCAUCCAGUCCUCCUCCAUGUACUGCCAUAAUAGUUUUUGAUUUGCACUGAUGCCCUAGGAAGUACCUUUCCCCACACUUAUAAUAAGGUCUAGGAUUAUUUCUAUUACUAGAAGUAGGUGGCAGGGUAUUGCUAGAAGUGGUUGAUGUUUAGGCAGUCACAGGUGUAUUGGUGGCUGUUUGGGACCUAGUGUUGGAAGUAGAGGGUUUCUGAGUGGAUGACAUGUCUGUAAUCGGUGGCUUAGGUGGAUAUGGAUGUGUUUGGCUAAAUUGAGUGGUUCUGUUGGUGUUUGGGUAGGAGUUUGCAGAAGAAUUUUGUAUUUGGUAAGCAUUUUUGGGAGUGUUUGGAUAAGAAAAGGGCUUGUAAGGAGGUUGAGGCUUUUUACUACUCUUCAGUAGCUGCUCUUGCAAUCUUGCUAUCUUAAAUGCUGGUAUAAAUUGGCAGGUUUAAUCAUCCUCGCCAUAGGUCUUGUAUCAUCCCUUAAUCCACUUAUGAAGGCUAAUGAAAAUAUGCUUCAGCCAAUUCAGG